CUACGGGAGGCUCCAGUGGGGAAUAUUGCACAAUGGGGGAAACCCUGAUGCAGCAACGCCGCGUGGAGGAUGACACUUUUCGGAGCGUAAACUCCUUUUAUAUACCAAGAUAAUGACGGUAGUAUAUGAAUAAGCACCGGCUAACUCCGUGCCAGCAGCCGCGGUAAUACGGGGGGUGCAAGCGUUACUCGGAAUCACUGGGCGUAAAGGAUGCGUAGGCGGCCUAGCAAGUCAGGUGUGAAAUCCUAUGGCUUAACCAUAGAACUGCACUUGAAACUGCUAGACUAGAGUUCAGAAGGGGAAGGUGGAAUUAGUGGUGUAGGGGUAAAAUCCGUAGAGAUCAGAAGGAAUACCGAUUGCGAAGGCGAUCUACUAGAACAUUAUUGACGCUGAGACGCGAAAGCGUGGGGAGCAAACAGGAUUAGAUACCCGAGUAGUC
rnacentral:rRNA from 1 species